ensembl:lncRNA
AAAGGAAUGAUAAAAAAGACUAGUUUUAAUUUGUUGCUGUGCUAUUUUUCUGUAUCUGUAUAAAAAGACAAAAAAAAAAAGAAAAGUAAGGAAGGAAAGGGAGGAAUGGAAGGAAAGGAAGAAAAGCAAAAACAAAUCAAAAGAAGAAGAAAACAGAACCAUUCAGUCCUUAAAUCAAGGACUGUCAGGACAAGUAGCCUUGGAAACAGUUUCAUGUUUAUUCAUCAUUUUCAAGGAAGCAGGAUUUCAUGUUUGGUUUUAAUAAUAACUGAGAGAGAAUCAGAAAGGAAAUAACAUUAAUAACUCUCCUCCCAUCUGCAAACUGAUUUCCACAGAGAACAGUCCAGCAAGAUUUUGGUAGACUGCAUAAUAUCAACCAAGGACAGACCAACGGACGUAUUGUGAAAUGGAUAGUCUCCCAGUGAGACUACCUAAAAAGACACAAAUAAUAGUCCUUGAGUGACACUAGACCAGAUGAUCACCUUUCCUUUCCAGUGAAACCCAGAUAUUGUAAUGUGCUUCAGGAAAUCCCCUAUUAAGAAAUGCCUGAAAGGCAAGGACUGAGUUGAUUUCUCUGGACAUGAACAUCCUCUGUGUGUGGAUCUAGAAGAGGGUGACCUUCACUGCAGUCCCUUGAAUACCUGGUUACGCCUCUACAGCUGAAGAUCUACAGCCGACCUGGAAGAUAAGCACAAGCUGUACAAAAGCCUGUGCUAGCAGGAGCCCAGCAAACCUAAAUAUGUUGCUUUGGGACUCAUCCAAUUGCAACAGUGAGCAGCUUUCACAGAGAAAAGCAGAGAAUAGAGUCACACUUGGCUUCAGAGCAGAAAUCUGGCAACUAGCUUUGCUUGGCUCCUGAGAAUAUUCCUGACGGCAGGUGAGAACCAGCUCUAAACUGGGGUGGCAUCAGCAGUGCACUGGGAGACAAUCACUAUAAAGAAGUGAACAAAGGGUUGUAAUCAAGUGGGACAUGAGUAGAAGGGAGCAGUAUGUAGAUACAGGUUUCACGUUAUCUUGAUAAUCUCUUGGCUAUAAAACUGAUAGCUGAAUAUUAUGGCAGUUCUUAGGAUGCUUCUGGAUGUGUUUCUAGUUGAAGCUGCCUGCAUGCC